UGAGGAAUAUUGGUCAAUGGGCGAGAGCCUGAACCAGCCAAGUAGCGUGCAGGAUGACGGCCCUAUGGGUUGUAAACUGCUUUUAUGCGGGGAUAAAGUGCGUGACGUGUCAUGCAUUGCAGGUACCACAUGAAUAAGGACCGGCUAAUUCCGUGCCAGCAGCCGCGGUAAUACGGAAGGUCCGGGCGUUAUCCGGAUUUAUUGGGUUUAAAGGGAGCGUAGGCUGUCUAUUAAGCGUGUUGUGAAAUAUACCGGCUCAACCGGUGGCUUGCAGCGCGAACUGGUCGACUUGAGUAUGCAUGAAGUAGGCGGAAUUCAUGGUGUAGCGGUGAAAUGCUUAGAUAUCAUGACGAACUCCGGUUGCACAGGCAGCUUGCUGAAGCAUAUCUGACGCUGAUGCUCGAAAGUGCGGGUAUCAAACAGG
rnacentral:rRNA from 1 species